AUACGGAGGAUCCGAGCGUUAUCCGGAUUUAUUGGGUUUAAAGGGUGCGCAGGCGGGAGAUUAAGUCGGCGGUGAAAUUUUGCAGCUCAACUGUAAAAGUGCCUUUGAAACUGGUUUUCUUGAGUGUAGAUGAAGUAGGCGGAAUUUGGGGUGUAGCGGUGAAAUGCAUAGAUAUCACGAGGAACUCCGAUUGCGCAGGCAGCUUACUAAACUACUACUGACGCUCAGGCACGAAGGCGUGGGGAUCAAACAGGAUUAGAUACCCUGGUAGUCCACGCAGUAAACGAUGAUUACUAGCUGUUUGCGAUACAAUGUAAGCGGCUGAGCGAAAGCGUUAAGUAAUCCACCUGGGGAGUACGUUCGCAAGAAUGAAACUUAAAGGAAUUGACGGGG
rnacentral:rRNA from 1 species